UACGUAGGGAGCGAGCGUUGUCCGGAAUUAUUGGGUGUAAAGGGUGCGUAGGCGGCUAUGUAAGUCAGACGUGUAAUUCAGAGGCUUAACCUCUUGAUUGCGUUUGAAACUGUGUAGCUUGAGUGGAGUAGAGGCAGAUGGAAUUUCCAGCGUAGCGGUGAAAUGCGUAGAUAUUGGAAGGAACAUCGGUGGCGAAGGCGAUCUGCUGGGCUCUAACUGACGCUGAGGCACGAAAGCAUGGGGAGCAAAC
rnacentral:rRNA from 1 species